rnacentral:lncRNA from 1 species
AGGACAUUCCACUUGUACCAUCCCCAUUGGCCGGAUGGCCUCAUCGCCCUAAACCCUCGAGCCGAAGAGACGUGCUACUUCAAGGGCAAGCAAGUCCAGCCCGCCACGCGCACCCAGCCACCGCGGGCCCUCCUCUGCUCAGCGCCGCACGAGCCCAACGGCCGUUUUGAACCGGCCAUGGCCGUCCGAUCGCACCCNN